UGGGGAUCGGGGUGAGAUGUAGGUAAAGGCAUCAUAUAUGUGCACUUGAACCUUGGUUGUUUCCCACAGCCAAUGACCUUGAAGCUGUCUCAAACCUGCUCCUCUGCAUUUUGCCCCAGGAUAUCCUGCAACUUGGAGAAAUCAUCUCAGAGGGGACCUUAUAACGGAGACCUUGUGGUUCCCAACUUCCACAUCCUUAGAAAUCAUAAACCCUCUGCAAUCAUCUCCAGAGACGGGGACGUGAUCAGCAGCCACUGUCUUCUUUCAUUCAGGUGGCACUCAGUCCAAUGUUCUGUUGGUCUGUAGCCACCACGAAGCUCAGUAGCUUAAAGCAAACAUUAUCAUCACCUCUUAUGUUGCUGUGGGUUGACUGGACUUCAUGGACAGCUCAUGCUCCACGUUUCCACAUGGGACUGUAGUCAGAGGUCCACUGGGAUGACAGAGGGGCUGGUCAUUCAAAGGUUUGACUGGUCUGGACCUCACAGAUGGUUCACUCAUGUUUCUGGGCUGUCCACCAGAACAACUACACAUAGCCUCUCCAUGGGGCUUGCCCAUCUCCUAACAUGGUGGCUGGUUUCCCAAGACAGAACCCAAGGGUCCCAGGCUGAAGCUGCAGGGCUUCUUAGGGACCAACCUUGGGAGUCUCUGAGCAUCAGUUCCACCCAUUCCAUUAGUCAAACAGACCCAAGCCCAGCCCAGAUUCAAGGUGAUGGAGAUAGGAGCUCACCUCUUUUUGUUGUUGUUGUUCUAAUUAAUUAAUCAUGAUAGCACAAUGCAGUUCAAUUCCUUGUACACAAAUAGGGUACAGCUUUUUGAUUAGAAAGAUGGAGGAACUCAUCUCUUAACUCGGGAGAGGCCGAGUCACCCUGCAGAAGAGCGUGUGGCAAGAAACCGCCCGGUAGUCAUCUCUGGAAGCUUCAUCUUCCAUAUGCAGCACCUGGUCUUCCCAGGUAAAAGAACUGUGCUAAUCUCAGGGGUGGGGGACAAGCACUGUCCCAGGAGUCAAACCAGCCCCGGACUUUCCUGUUCCACCCUGGAACCACCCGGCUGUCACCUACACUGACAAAGUUGCUGCUAAGUCCCCAAGGCUGCUAGGAGCUCCCCACAUGCUUUAAGGAGCAUUCUAAGGACAGCAGGAGAUCACCCGCUGCUUUGUUCUGCUCUAACAAGCCUCCGCCAAGCACUGGCUCACUCAUCCAUCCACCAACCAUUCGCCCAGGGCCCGCUUGGGCCAUCCCAGAGAGAAACCCACACAGCAGGAGAUGCAGUGGUCCAUGGAAGACGCGGACAGUCACAGAACACUGCACAGGUCAGUGG
rnacentral:lncRNA from 1 species